AUGUGACCAAGAGCAUCAUCCAGAUGCUCCUUGAAUUCUGGCAGGUUCCGUGCCAUGACCACUUCUCUGGGGAGUCCAUUCUAGUGAUCAACCACUCUCUCAGUGAAGAACUUUUUCCUAAUUGUGGGAACUGACAGUGAUCAGAUUUUAGGCUUCAGGCACUUGCUAAAAAGACAAGUGAGCGACUCUCUCAUUCUGGCCUGGGAAAAUCCUAAGGAAGAAUCCAAACAGUCCUUGGGAGGUGAAAAACAGUUAGCAGGUGGUGUUUUUUUAACUUAUUUACUGGCAAAGAUGUUUACAAAGAGGUGUAGGCUCUAAAUGACCAAUCAUAUUCAUUGUACCAAAGUACUGUAUAAAAAGUGUUUUGAAGAAUAAAGAUCGCUCUCCACUUGCUGUGAGCUGGGAGUCAUGUCGUUAUCAUGCCGUCCUUAAAGCAAUAGCAACAUAUGGUGGACCCCCGACUAUCCUUUGACACAGUCACAAUAAUUCAUCACAGCCUAGACUGAAGAAUUGCCACCUGCUUUCCUCUGAAGAGGUAAGCGACAUAUCCCCCGCGCCUUCCUGGAGAAGGCUGGUCCCGCUGACCACGAAGAAGAAUGACCCUGCCAAAUAGAGCGGGUAGGACAGCACCCAGCGAAGCUGGAGUCUGGAUUUUACGACAGACCACUGCGACUGCUGAGCUGUGGUACUGCGGGCUGCCAGGCAGAGGUUCCAGGACUGGGGAACCCGCCCUCCAGAGAGGCCAAAUUGUGCCUCUUGUGACAGGGCAGUUGGAAUUCUCUGCUGCUGACAACUUCUUUUGCUCCCCCCCCACCCUUCCCCCCAGGCUCCUCUGUUUCCAUUCGCGGUAUGAAAGCAAACAUGCACAAGCUGCAUUCUCUGCUGGCGGGGACGGGACUUAGAGUGGGCCAAUCGAGCUCAUCAUUGCCUGCAGCGUUUGCUGUUGCUGCCUUCCCACGCCUCCACCCUUCCAGCUUACCUGGACUUCUGGGGAUGUGAGACUCUGGCCACCUUUACCGUGCUUCAGUUUUCCUGCAGAGAGCAGGCAGCCGGGGACUCUGAUUGCCUUGGCUCCUCCUCCUCCUCUCUCCGCAUCGCGGAUGGCUGCGCAGGGGUUACUGCUUCAUCAGCAGCUGUGAAUGGUCUGUACCAUGAGUUUAAAAGAUGCCAGCCCAUUUCAGAUACAUCUGGUUGGAUUCGUGGACCCCGAGUGUGACGUAGCGACUCUUUCUUUCUCUGCAUGGCCCAGCACCUGGCCUUUGGCUGUGGGACCAGACAUCACAGGAACUAGAGGCAGAAUCCAGACAUUUGUAAGCCCAUAAUCUGUCCUGGUCACAAAUGCAGAAGGACAGACAGUGGUGCUCCGGCCCUGAGUUGCAGAGGUUCCCCUCAAUAUCUGGGGGAGGGAUCUGUUGGCAGCCUGGGAAACCACAGGUUGCAGACAGCGAGAAGGCUGCUGUCCCGCGAGGGGGGUGGUGGAGACCAGGUGCUCAACUCUUAAUCCCCUCAGCAUUCUGUGUUUUCCAUGUAGGACUGCCUUGUGUCAUUCUUAGGUGUGAAAAACGAGGUUCACUUUGUAAAAUUUUAAAAGUUUAAUAAAAAAAUACAAAUAGACAAUCAGGACACAAUAAGAACAAAAGUAUUCUUUUACAGGUGCCUGGGUACUGUUAUAAAUGCCAAUACAGUAGUCCAAUUAAAAUAUAAUUUUUGGUUUAUUAAAAAGGAUCAAACUACAGAAUUUCAGCAAAACCACCAGCAGCGGAGUUACAAUGACGAUUGACCCGGGAAUCGUCAAGGGUGAACUGGGGCGCAGUAUCUGGCCAACUGCCGUCCCCCCUGAGUUCACGAACUGGCCUUGUUCUGGGCUUAGUUUUUAUACACUUUAUUCUGCCUCUGGCAAAAAUUUCCUCAGUCCUUUUGUUUCCAAGCUAGUUAUUCGAAUUCAUAGUCGUCUCUGGCUGAACUGAAAAGAGUUUCCUCCUCUGCUGCAAGGUGUCAAUUUCUAGUUUCCCGUGAGUGAAUGGACACCAAAGUUUAUUAACAGAAAGAGUUCUUCUCCGGAGAUUUAGACUAGAUGAUGGUGCUCUGAUGGUGGACGCUCUGAUGAUGGUGUUCCUGAUGGCUGAUGAUAAUGAUCUGAUGGCUCUGUUGUCCAUGGGGGAAGGACUGAUAACUUAUCUUAAUGUCCUUUUCUGAUGCCAAAGAGAAGGCCAGUGUUUCCCUUAAAUCCUUUGUUCUCCUUUCUAAAUGUAAAUUCCAGGGUGGUGCCUGCCUCUGUCUCAGCGAAUUUUCAAGGCAGACUGAAACUAUAUUCUCAUAUAACAUAUAUACAGUGGUUUUCAUAAUUUUUAACAUGUCAUAACCCAUAAGAAUACGAAUGAAUACCCCAUAUUUUUCACAGUACCCUCACAUGGGAUUCACCAUGCAGGUACCCCACUUAACAAAAGACUCAUCCCUUAAAAAUACUAGUGUGUUGAAUAUUCAUACAUUACAUACAUGAUUCAAACAUUCAUUUCAAAUCGUAGGUGUUCCUGUUUAAUCUCAAUCCCCCCCUUCUCCCUUCCAUUCAUAAAUCUGGUCGUCUCAUAGCGCCUUUAAGUUGCGGAGCUAUGUCAUAAAUCUUUUCUCAGAGCCUUUUUGGUCGUUGCUGCUAUCUCUUAUCAAGCUAGGAUACUGUGAAAAAAAUCUUUGGUUAUCUUCUCUGUUUCUCAAGUUAAUUACAAAAGCAUCUCUACAUAACAAUUUCUAUUGUACUAUUAUUCUAUAACCUAAAAACUACAUUUAUUAUAUUACUGAAAGCAGCUAUAUGAAUACAGUAUAACUUCCCAACACAACACAUGGGAUAUCCAUUUUAAUAUGUGCGAAAAGCCAAUUAUAUAAUAUACAUUUAUAACAUUCGUGAAAAGAACGGGGCAUAUGCCUUUAUUAAUAUUCAGCUCUUUAUUAAAGUGAUCAGCUCAUUAUUAAAGUCAUCAGCAGGAUUGCAGAGUCCGAUCGGAGUUUUCCACGCUGCUGCAGCCGUCCGAAGGAGCAGGUGCUGUCCCAGUUCAUCAUUCCACUGCAAACAGUAGAUGCCGAGUCCUUGUUCCCAUAGGAACGGCCUAGGAGUUCUCUCUGGUCAACCAUCAGGAGGCAGGGUGGAUGAGCAGUCUGCUGCAGGGGUGCAGAGUCAGCUCUUUGCCCUCAGGGAAACCUUCAAGAGUUCCCCGUUCUCUGUCGCAUCAGCUCAGCUGGCCAAUUCCCAUUCCAUUCAGGCUCCUCAAAGGUCAUGGCGAAUCUUCAAACUAGGCCAGGGGGUGCAUCCACCCCCCGCUCGGCCAGGGCACUAUCCAAUUCUCUUCUGAUGAAUCCAGCUUCCUGUCCCGGGGUGCAGUUUCCCCAAGAAAAAACUCCCAGGAUCCAUGGGGGCAGCCCUAUCUGCAUAUACAAAUGCAUAUGCAUUUGUCCUGGUCGCAGCAGAGGUUGUUACAAAAAGCAAUAACCGGGCAAUUAAGGCUGGAGCCGCUCCUUUUCACUUUUUAAUGAGGUAGGAAAGUGUUGCCAGGCAACUCCUCUUCAGGGCAGGCAGCUUCCCUCCCCACUCAAACUUGCUGGGGUGUGGGGGUUAAACAGGAAAAACCCCCUAGGACAAGGACAGCCCAGCCUUUUUUUCUUUUUUUUUUUUUUUUUUUUUUUUUUUUUUUUUUUUUUUUUUUACGGGGAAACUUGUUCAUAACAUUCGGGCUUGGUUUCUGUGCUUUCUCUUUGUUUUUCCUUCUGCGGGAGUUUGGGGUGGGAGAGAUGGAAAUGCAGCCCUGAGAGGCUGUGGCGGGCCGAUCUCUCUGUCUCUCUCUCCGUGCCCAGCCCCUACAUUCUCCCCGCGGCACCUGCGGGAUGGUGGUUGGAAUCCUUUUUCCGUUUUUCCUCUUGCCAUUGGCACCCUGCUCCUGCAGUUGUGCGGGCGCAAGGCAAGAGCGGGGAGACCCAUGCCUGACAGGAAGCCCGGCAGCCAACACUGCACGGGCAGGCUCUGCCCUUGCCUUCCCCCCCGCUCCUCGGCGGGCGGGGGCACGGCUGGCCGGAGGCCCUGCCGGCUCCUGCGGCAGCGGCAGCAGCCACGGUCUCUUUAUUGCUGCUGCCAUAGCAGCAAAGGGCUAGGGCAGCUGACCCAAGACCGAAAUGCCGGAUCAGCCCCUGCCACUUCUGGGCUCUGUAUUGGGCUGCAGGGAAGCGGCAGCCAGAGCUUUUUCUCCGUGCCCAAUUCUUUCCCUCUUCCCCUGCGGAGCCAAGGGUGGAGGUUUCCCCCCCGCUCUGAUGGCACUGGGGGGAGAUGUGGCUGGGGUGUCUCUCCUUUCCUCUCUUGGUGAUAUCCCCCCCUUGUCCCCCCACUCUGUGCUGCAGGACAAGCAGCUUUGCCGCUCCCCCCACCCCCCAACCCUGCACGGCGCGGCAGGAGCCGUCGAUGUGGUGCCGCUGCCCCAGCGCAAAGGGGGACUGGGUGCAGCUUUCUGCCAAGGGGACAGGCUCCUUGCCUCCUUCUCCCCCCCUCAAAAACCAUGAAUGGGGGCCACCAGCUCUCUGCCAGAGAGACUGACAGUGGAAGGUUAAAAAAAUUGUAUAAGUUAACCGUGGGUAGUUGAGGGGGGGAAGGUAGAAGAAGCACAAUCUGAAUUUGAAGUAGCCUGGCUUUGGAACAAAUGUCAGCUUCUGCAACUAGCUUUAUACUAUUGUUUUAAGUAUGACUCCAGCCCAGGAGAUAAUUGAGAAGCAUUGUUUUAACCAAAUCAAGUAGAACCCAGGGUAAAGCGUAGGUAUGAUUUAAGAUAGUAACUAAGAAAUAGGAUAACCAGUAUCUAGGGGUGGAGGUUAGUUAACAUGUGUAUAAUUUGAAACUAUAAAAAUCACAGAUCGACUCUGUAUUCUUGGGCACAAGAUUUGGGCACUGUAUGCCCCUGUGUCCAGCGUGCUCAAAUAAAGAACCGCAUAUGAUCGCCUUGGUGUGGUUAUAUGUUUUCCUACGCUAACAUUUUUGGCGACCUUGUGGGCACAGCCAGGACCCCGCUCCAGCCGGCACCGGGUGAUUUCUUGGGGAGCCCAUCGGCUCCAUGUCCCUUGCCGCUCACAACGACCCCUGGUGAGAGGUAAUUAUCUUGGUUUGCCUGUGCCUGCUCCUCCUCCGCCUGCUCCGGUGCCUGCCCCUGCUGUGCCUGCUCAGAGAACCCCCCCUUCUCCACAUAUACUUGAUGAAAGCUAUCCUGCCCCCCCGCCGACACCUGCUGAAAGAUUUAUUCCUCCUCCAACACCAGUUCACAGGAAAACUCUAGCUCAGCUUCGAAGUGUUCUCAUGUAGAAUAGACCACUGGCCCUGGAGAAUCCAGUCCACAAUAUCAAACCAGGAGAUGAAGUAUACAUCAAAACCUGAAACGAAGAACCAGUAAAAGAAAAGUGGACUGGUCCCCAUCAGGUACUGCUAACUAUCACCGCGGGGCCUGACGUUAUUUGGUUAGUUUACAGAAUCCUGAAGAGAGAGAUACAGAAAAAGGCAUCUUGGAACAGGACCAUAAUGAAGGCAUUGGCACGGAAUCCAUAUCCAGCGCCUUCGAUCCGCAACAACAUCCCGGACAAAGCCCAUGACAACAGAGGAUUUGAAGAUGAACAUCCUGUAUAAACUCUGAAGCCAAAUGGACUGUAUUAAGUGAAAGCAUUUACACUUAGUAUAUUAGAGUGAAAAUACUUUCAAAGGGGGGAAUGAUAGUGGAGGGUUAAAAAAUUGUAUAAGUUAACCGUGGGUAGUUGAGGGGGGGAAAGGUAGAAGACGCACAAUCUGAAUUUGACGUAGCCUGGCUUUGGAACAAACGUCAGCUUCUGCAACUAGCUUCAUACUAUUGUUUUAAGUAUGACUCCAGCCCAGGAGAUAAUUGAGAAGCAUUGUUUUAACCAAAUCAAGUAGAACCCAGGGUAAAGCGUAGGUAUGAUUUAAGAUAGUAACUAAGAAAUAGGAUAACCAGUAUCUAGGGGUGGAGGUUAGUUAACAUGUGUAUAAUUUGAAACUAUAAAAAUCACAAAUCAACUCUGUAUUCUUGGGCACAUGAUUUGAGCACUGUAUGCCCCUGUGUCCCACGCGCUCAAAUAAAGAACCGCAUAUGAUCACCUUCGUGUGGUUAUAUGUUUUCCUAUGCUAACAAGACGGCAGCAGGUAAGGGCUGAGGACAGCCAAGGCUGCUUGGU